AUGCUGGGAUGAACCUAAUUCAACACAUCAUUCUUACUGUCAAGUGAAGAAACUUUAACACUGAGCAUC